rnacentral:rRNA from 1 species
UACAGAGGUGGCAAGCGUUGUUCGGAAUUACUGGGCGUAAAGGGCUCGUAGGCGGUCUUGUAAGUCUCGCGUGAAAUCCCUCGGCUUAACUGAGGAACUGCACGGGAUACUGCAUGACUUGAGAUCGGGAGAGGGAAGCGGAAUUCCGGGUGUAGCGGUGAAAUGCGUAGAGAUCAGGAAGAACACCGGUGGCGAAAGCGCUAUGCUAGGCCGCAACUGACACUGAGGGACGAAAGCUAGGGGAGCGAAUGGG